rnacentral:rRNA from 1 species
AGUGAACGCUGGCGGUAGGCCUAACACAUGCAAGUCGAACGGCAGCACAGUAAGAGCUUGCUCUUACGGGUGGCGAGUGGCGGACGGGUGAGGAAUACAUCGGAAUCUACUUUUUCGUGGGGGAUAACGUAGGGAAACUUACGCUAAUACCGCAUACGACCUACGGGUGAAAGCAGGGGAUCUUCGGACCUUGCGCGAUUGAAUGCGCCGAUGUCGGAUUAGCUAGUUGGCGGGGUAAAGGCCCACCAAGGCGACGAUCCGUAGCUGGUCUGAGAGGAUGAUCAGCCACACUGGAACUGAGACACGGUCCAGACGCCUAAGGGAGGCAGCAGUGGGGAAUAUUGGACAAUGGGCGCAAGCAUGAUCCAGCCAGACCGCGUGGGUGAAGAAGGCCUUCGGGUUGUAAAGCCCUUUUGUUGGGAAAGAAAAGCAGCAGGUUAAUACCCCGCUGUUCUGACGGUACCCAAAGAAUAAGCACCGGCUAACUUCGUG